rnacentral:rRNA from 1 species
CCCUUAGAUGUUCUGGGCUGCACGCGCGCUGCACUGAUACACUCAACGAGUUCCUGUCUUGAAAGAGUCGGGUAAUCAUUUGAGCGUGUAUCGUGAUGGGGAUAGAAUAUUGUAAUUAUUACUCUUCAACGAGGAAUUCCUAGUAGUCACUGUUCAUCAGACAGUGACGACUACGUCCCUGCCCUUUGUACACACCGCCCGUCGCUCCUACCGAUUGGGUGUGCUGGUGAAAUGUUCGGAUCGGCCGUUUGUCGCGGUUUCCGCGGCUCGUGGCUGAGAAGUUCAUUAAACCCUCCCACCUAGAGGAAGGAGAAGUCGUAACA